CCUGUCUGCGCCCAGGAUCUGAACCCUGGGACGCCGCAGCAGAGCGUGCAAACUUAACCACUCGGCCAUGGAGCUGGCCCCUCUCUUUUAAAUACCUACUCCUAUAAAACUCACCCUUGGAUGUUAAUACACAGCUCAGUUGCCUGUUUAGUGUCAUUCACUCUGCAAUGACAGUGCAGUGUUUGUUCCAAUUUGAACAUUUGCUUGCUUGCUAAUUUCAAAAAGAGGUAAACAUCUGGGAAGUCAGUUUCUAUUUUUACAAAAGAAUUUAGAGAGAGAGAUUAUAAAAUGACUUCUUUUCAAAUGGACUGUAGAACUCUAAUACUGCCCAAGAGAUCAUGAAAUUCCAAUUGUACAUGAGCCCAAAAGGCAGAACAAUGGCCCCCACCAAUGUCUGUCUCCGGAGAGGUCCCUCUUCUCACCAAGAUGCCCCUAGAGACCACCAGGCUCACAAAGUUCCCUACUACGAGGCCAGUGUGCUUAGUUUACCAUCACUACCUCUUCAGUCAUGCAAAAUCUCCUGUGUAAAAUAUCAUCCAGAGACUUUCUUCCCAACCUCUUGAUUCCUGUUGAUGCAUAAAGAAGGAAAUAAUGACCUUGGAAUUUUGGGGAAGGCAAUCCCUACCCUUGAUUCCAGUUCAUCAUUUACUUUGCCAGCAAGAUGAAGAUGCAGAGCAACUCAUAGGAUUUACACUGAGAAAAGCGUUAGUUAUAUAAAAGUCAUUUUGGUUUUUUUUUACCAUUGGUGGUCUCUCUAAAUCUUUUUCUCUCCAUAAAUCAUUGUCUUUCUGUCUUUCUCUGUCUCUUUCCGUUUUACUUCUUAUCUCUCCAACACAGUCAAGCCCAGUAUGUUUGUCUGUCUACUUCUUUUAUUUUUUUAUUUUUAUUGAGGAGGAUUAGCCCUGAGCUAACUACUGCCAGUCCUCCUCUUUUUUUGCUGAGGAAGCCUGGCCCUGAGCUAACAUCUGUGCC
rnacentral:lncRNA from 1 species